rnacentral:rRNA from 1 species
CGGUAUGGACCUUUCGGGGUUCAGAGGGUGGCGAACGGGUGAGUAACACGUAGGUAAUCUACCCUCAAGACGGGGACAACCCAGGGAAACUUGGGCUAAUACCGGAUGUGUGUAGUGGCUAUUUUUCUGAUUAUCAUUAUUUACGUAAGUGAGUAAUAAUAAGAAGGGAAAGUGGUUAUUACAUAAAAGGUGGCGUAACUGCCGCUUGGGGAUGAGCCUGCGUCCUAUUAGUUAGUUGGUGAGGUAACGGCUUACCAAGGCGAUGAUAGGUAGGCGGCCUUAACGGGUGGUCGCCCACACUGGGAUUGAGAUACGGCCCAGACUCCUACGGGAGGCAGCAGUCGAGAAUAGUCUACAAUGGACGGAAGUCUGAUAGUGCGACGCCGCGUGAACGAAGAAUCCCUUCGGGGUGUAAAGUUCUUUUAUACGUGAGCAGUGUCCUUUAUAUUAAUAGUAUAAGGGGAGAGAUAUUAGCGUAUGAAUAAGCAACGGCUAACUCCGUGCCAGCAGCCGCGGUAACACGGGGGUUGCGAGCGUUGUCCGGAAUUACUAGGCGUAAAGUGCAGGUAGGCGGAUAAAUAAGUUUAAGGUUAAAGGCUACGGCUUACCCGUAGUAAGGCGUUAGAUACUGUUUAUCUGGAAUGCGGUUGAGGGAGACAGAAUUCCUGGUGUAGCGGUGGAAUGCGCAGAGAUCAGGAGGAAUACCGAAGGCGAAGGCAGUCUUCUAAGCCGAUAUUGACGCUAAACUGCGAAGGUGUGGGGAUCAAACAGGAUUAGAUACCCUGGUAGUCCACACAGUAAACGAUAAUCACUAGGUGUUGGGUUCUUAAGAGGAUUCAGUGCCGGACUAACGCGAUAAGUGAUUCGCCUGGGGAGUACGAUCGCAAGGUUGAAACUCAAAGGAAUUGACGGGGGCCCGCACAAGCGGUGGAGCAUGUGGUUUAAUUCGAUACAAAGCGAAAAACCUUACCAAGGUUUGACAUGUACCUGCACGGUCUAGGAAACUAGAUCUCUUCGAGAGUGGUACACAGGUGAUGCAUGGCUGUCGUCAGCUCGUGUCGUGAGACGUCCACUUAAGUGUGGUAACGAGCGCAACCCUUGCCAAGUGUUAUAAGUAUCACUUGGGACUGCCCCGCUUCUUGCGGGGAGGAAGGAGAGGAUGAUGUCAAGUCAGCACGUCCCUUACAUCUUGGGCUACACACAUCCUACAAUGGAGCCGACAACGGGUCGCGACGCCGCGAGGCUGAGCUAAUCCUAAUAAACGGCCCCUCAAUUCGGAUUGCAGGCUGCAAUUUGCCUGCAUGAAGUCGGAAUCGGUAGUAAUCGCAAAUCAGCAGGUUGCGGUGAAUACGUU